UCAAAAAUAAAAUCGCCUCUCUAGCUCUUUGAUCUAGCACCGCCGCUCACCGUCAUUUUGUAUGUUGCUCCUCCGUUCAACGUCGGUUUCCCUCUCCAAUCUCUCCAUAAGCCACUCCCCACCUUUCUCUACCACUUUAUCCUCAUACCCUGAAUAGAAAAUGUUUCCCUAAAUUGAAACCUAGGGUUUUCAUCUUGCAAUUAGACAACCACCAUUCAAAUAAUUUAUUUUACCUUCUCUCUAUGCCACUGUCGUCGCCUCCUUUUAUUAAUGUUCCGCUCAAAGAUUGCGGAAAAAAGUUCGAUUGUAGAAUCUGUCUUCGCAAAAUCGUAGUCAAAGUUCAACAAUGGUUGGAAGAGAAACAAUUUUUCAAAUCUGAACCUGGUGAUAAACCACCCGAACCAAGUGAUUUUUUUUUUAUGGAAAAGUGUUGCUGUUGUCGAGAGUGUUGGUGAUGAAAAUGGUGCUCUGGCUAAAUUUAAGGGAAAGAAAUUUAAGGUUGCAGCAAAAUCAAGUGAACAGGCUUAUCAAUGGGAGAUUUUGAGGAAUGUUGGGCUAUUUGUUGCUGAGAUUUGGGAGUUUCAAUAUCCUUAUAAGUGGUUAUCUUAUUUUCCACCGUUGGCUUUGGAGAUCUUAUGGCUUUUGGUUUAGGUUGUGAUUGGUGAAGAUCGUUCAUUGCAACCCAAAGAGUAUUGAAACUUCAAAAUAGUAUUUCAUUAAACUUUGCACAAACUAUAUAAGUUUGGGUGGGAUAUUUUGUCUCCAAACAUCAACAUACUUUGGUUAAUGUAAGUUUGGUUCAGUUACUUUUUUUUAAAACAAUUGUUGCAUGGACCAACUAAUGUAUUGUUACACAUUAUUUUUUAGAAUUAUAUUUAUAGAUUUCAUUUAUCAGCCCGGUGGAUCUAGAUAGGUUGAUACAUCAGAUGAAUCUAUAGAUCUAGCAGGAGCUCCUGGAGCUAGAAGAAUGAAUUUCAAAUUAGUUGGUACAACAGAUGGAUUUGUAGUUUCAGCAGUAUCUCAUAAAGUUAGAACAAUGGAUUUCAGAUCAAUGCUCAAUCAUUGUAGUUGGGGCAAAAAUAAGACUAUUGGGAUUCAAUGACAAUUGAUGCUUUCAAGUACUAAGGAGAAAAUUGUACAAGUUUAUAUCUCUUAACCAGCAAGUCAAUAUGGUGUUGAGAGGCUUUUUCAGAAAAUACGGAAAGAUUGAAAGAGUGGACUUGAAUUCUGAUAAAUUAGAAGUUGAUUUUGUGCAUUGUUGGAAAGUCAAUAAUGGCCAUCGAGGAGUCACGUUUGGCUGGAGAGAAUUAGUUUUCUUAGGGAGCA